GACAUUCGUUUGCACCAAUAAAUCCCUAAAUCCUUUUGUCGUCUCUCUAACGCAUCCACAUCCAAGAAGAAUCAGUUUUCCACCCCUCCCCCUUCUCUCUACUGUUAUCCUUGAAAGCACACCGUCGAUCGAUUUUGCUCCUUCUACUACUAUGUUCUUUCAUCUUUCUUCUGUAUCUUCUAUUUUCCUUUCAGUUUGGGCUUUAGAAAAACGGCAGUCCUCGAUGGCGGUAGUGUAGACGAUCUAAGACAAUUAUAAGACGAUUUUUGCAAGUAUGUUUUAUCGGCCCGCUUUUGAUACAGAAUUUCAUCUUCAAUUGAUAUCGGGCACGAUUUUGCAGUUGGUGUAAUUGCUUCGUUCUAUGUUUGCAUCGGCUGGCUGGGUUGGAGCCGAUCUAAUUUUGCAUUGCCUGACUGGGUUGGAUAAAGCUCCCCACCAUCUAUGUGAAUGUGUUUAUUUGUGUGUGUAUUUAUGGCUACGGUUGUGUAUAUGUGUAUUUGUGUGUAUUUAUGUUUCUUUGCGUCUUUUCCAGUAUUUAUUAUUAUGAUUCUCUCUUUUCUCCUUCUCUGCUAUGUUCAGAUCUUGAAGAUGGUUUGUUAUUUGCCAUUAGCACUGCCUUCACCACUUACAUGGCCUUCACUACUCAUCUCCAUUAAUGAAGAAUGAUAGUUUAUUUUGGACUUUUUGC
rnacentral:lncRNA from 1 species